GAGAAUACCGUGUGUGUGUAAACCGGACAUUUGAAUAGACUAUGCACUUUGUACUGUGUGAUCAUAUGUGGUCUUUACAACCACUCCACGAGAUGAGAAAACUAAGGCUUAAAGAGGUGAGAGGACUUGUCCAAGGCCAGCAGCCCCUUCCCCUGCUGGGAUGGAACCCUCAACGUCCACCUAACGAUGGUCAUCUCCUCUCUGUCCAUGUGAACACUGAGAGCUAUCUGUCCAUGGGUGUAGAAUAAAAGAGAGAAGGAAUAAGCUCACUGGGUUGCCAAGGAGUCGGGGAGGCCACUGCAGGAGGGACUGGGAUGCUGGGGACAUUCUGAGGGCUGAGACCGUUGGUUCGCAAUCCCAGACACCAGCCUAGGACCUGGGAGCCAGGAAGAUGAAUGCAUGGAUGAAAAGAGCUAUGGUGGCUGUCUUCAAGUAAAUAUUUCAUGAAUGAAUAGGUCAUUAAAAGAUAUUCCAUCAAGAGCAAAGAGGUGAUGGACCAAUUGUGAGCUUCAGACCCCACCCAUGUCGUCGUAUUUAGUCCUCUGGAGACCUGUGAGUGCAGGUCACUGUUCCCAUUUACUGCCAAGAGGACCGAAGAUCAGGGGCGGCUUGUGAAUUUUUUGCAGGCACAAGUUCAUUACCCUAAGCCUCCCUCCGGAUCUCGUUGGGCAAGUCCAUCCAAAGGAAAUCAGGCUAAAUAAGACCUGUCACGUGGGUCAUCACUGUAAGCAGAAAGAGUUGCGGGGGAGCCAGAAAAAAUCUAAGCUGCGGGACCAACCGAAGCCAGAGAACUGAUGGUGCCGCCCUUUGCUGCCCUCAUCACUUGGACCCGGGCUGUCCCUUUAUGAUGACUUCCACCCCAAUGCCAUGCCGAAUUUCCCAUCCUGCAGCCCCUUCAUAAAUAUGUGUGCACCCUCAGCUUCCUGCUGCCCCCACUUUGCUGUUUGAGGAGUAAACCACCCCCCCUUCCUA